CUUCAGGGCGGGGUGAGCGUCUGACGCAAUUCCCCACCGGCGGUAAAGCCCGCAAGCCUUGGAUAUACGCAGGUCGGACGCGGUGUGCGUUUGAUUUGUGAAUCCGAUAAGGCACGAUUUGGUGAAAUUCCAAAGCCGACGGUAAAGUCCGGAUGAGAGAAGU
rnacentral:ncRNA from 1 species